AACGAACGCUGGCGGCAUGCCUAACACAUGCAAGUCGAACGAGACCUUCGGGUCUAGUGGCGCACGGGUGCGUAACGCGUGGGAACCUGCCCUUAGGUUCGGAAUAACUCCCCGAAAGGGGUGCUAAUACCGGAUAAUGUCUUCGGACCAAGGAUUUAUCGCCUUUGGAUGGGCCGGCGUUGGAUUAGCUAGUUGGUAGGGUAAAAGCCUACCAAGGCGACGUUCCAUAGCUGGUCUGAGAGGAUGAUCAGCCACACUGGGACUGAGACACGGCCCAGACUCCUACGGGAGGCAGCAGUGGGGAAUAUUGGACAAUGGGCGAAAGCCUGAUCCAGCAAUGCCGCGUGAGUGAUGAAGGCCUUAGGGUUGUAAAGCUCUUUUACCCGGGAUGAUAAUGACAGUACCGGGAGAAUAAGCUCCGGCUAACUCCGUG
rnacentral:rRNA from 1 species